GCCAGCGGCCAAAGCACGUUGAAUGCACCAGUUCCCUAUGGUUCACUGAAGUUAAGCAACGUUGCGCGUGGUUGGUAUCCAGAUGGGGAACCAUCUGGACAGUUGCGUGCUGCUGGCU
rfam:Asian citrus Psyllid, Diaphorina citri - Florida Strain, whole genome shotgun sequence.